rnacentral:lncRNA from 1 species
GGCCGUUAGUUUUGUCGAUGAAUUGUUUUACAUUGUCAUUUCGGGGCCUUUUACAGCUGACUAUGCGGUAUGGGCUUUGCUCAUUGUUUACGACCGUAGACGGUACAGUGACCUAAAGUUGUUGAUUUCUGUGUCAUAUUGGUCUCUUUUGGGGAGCUGUCUCAUUGGCAAUCAUACCACAUCUUCUUAUUUUAUGAUUAAUGUUUUUUUGUAAAUGAUUUAAUGAUUGGAGAGUUUCAGAAAGGUAUCAAAAGUUAUAGGUACAGGGACAGGACAAUUGUUUUUCAAGCCCGGCUCCUACUUUUCCCCCCGAAAUUCCUAUUUCUUUUAUUUUUUUCUAAUAGUUUUAAUAACACAUGAAUAAUUUUAGCGCUUAUAUGAUAUGUAUAAAAUGAACAUUCAUUACUAUAAAUAAAGUGUAGUUUCUUUUUACUUUUAAUUAUCAGUUUACUAAUCGAUUCACGACGGUCAUUGAUAUAUUAUACCGACCCUCUCUAUUUAAUUAACUCUGUGACCGGCGUGUUUAGUAAACUUGAAAAUGAUAUCAGAUAGAAAAUACACUUUAUUCGAAGUAUAUUUAUGUUCAAGGUAUACAGAAAACACAAACCUGAAGUAUAACCUGACUUAAAAUUUUGCCCUAUGACGGACACUUUAGUCGAACACCUUUUUUCUCGUUUUUCUCCCAAAAU